UCUCAGUUGGUAGAGUACAAGGCUCUUAACCUUAUGGUCGUGGGUUCAAGCCCCAC
rnacentral:tRNA from 1 species